GAGGAACGCUGGCGGCGGGCUUAACACAUGCAAGUCGAACGGUAAGGCCCUUCGGGGUACACGAGUGGCGAAGGGGGGAGUAACACGUGGGUGAUCUGCCCUGCACUUCGGGAUAAGCCUGGGAAACUGGGUCUAAUACCGGAUAGGACCACUGCCUGCAUGGGUGGUGGUGGAAAGCUUUUGCGGCGUGGGAUGGGCCCGCGGCCUAUCAGCUUGUUGGUGGGGUGAUGGCCUAACAAGGCGACGACGGGUAGCCGGCCUGAGAGGGUGACCGGCCACACUGGGACUGAGAUACGGCCCAGGCUCCUCCGGGAGGCAGCAGUGGGGAAUAUUGCACAAUGGGCGCUAGCCUGAUGCAGCGACGCCGCGUGAGGGAUGACGGCCUUCGGGUUGUAAGCCUCUUUCAGCACCGACGAAGCGCAAGUGACGGUAGGUGCAGAAGAAGGACCGGCCAACUACGCGCCAGCAGCCGCCGUAA
rnacentral:rRNA from 1 species